GAUGAACGCUGGCGGCGUGCCUAAUACAUGCAAGUAGAACGCUGAAGGAGUAGCUUGCUCUUUCCGGGUGAGUCGCGAACGGGUGAGUAACGCGUAGGUAACCUGCCUGGUAGCUGGGGGUAACUAUCGUAAACGAUAUCUAAUACCGACUAACUAUAGAUAUUGCGUGAUAUUUGCUGGAAAUGGGCAAUUGCUCCACUACCAGAUGGACCUGCGUUGUAUUAGCUAGUUGGUGUGGUAACGGCUCACCAAGGCGAGGUUACAUAGCCGACCGGGGAGGGUGAUCGGCCACACUGGAACUGAGAAACGGCCCAGACUCCAACGGAAGGAAGCAGGAGGGAUACUUCGGAAAUGGCGGGAAGUCUGACCGAGCAACGCGGGGUGAGUGAAGAAGGUUUUCGGAUCGUAAAGCUCUGUUGUAAGAGAAGAAAGAGUGUGAGAGUGGAAAGGUCAUACUGUGACGGCAUCAUAACAGAGAGCGACGGCUAUCUGUG
rnacentral:rRNA from 1 species